rnacentral:rRNA from 1 species
AUGAUGCACAAAGAAGAUGCUUCUGGCCUACUACAUGAACUCGUUCUUGCCGACUUUAUCCUCUGUUUAUUUGCUCCGCGAGGUUGUUUGUUGGUUCGUGGGACGUCUGUGUCGUUAACCAACAAGGCGUUGUUAUCAUUACUUCCUCUCCCCUCGCUGGCUCGUCAUCUGCUUGCUAUCAAGGUUUGUGCUUCCUGUUUGACCUUUGUCUUCUCAUACUGCUGUAGUACUACCAAGGCACGGUUGAUCUUCUAUGGUCUUCGAAGCAUGACUUUAACUACUGAUACAUACACAACUAGAUGGAUUGGACAUUUAUGA